rnacentral:rRNA from 1 species
AUUGAACGCUGGCGGCAUGCCUUACACAUGCAAGUCGAACGGUAACAGGUCUUUCGGGAUGCUGACGAGUGGCGAACGGGUGAGUAAUACAUCGGAACGUGCCUAGUAGUGGGGGAUAACUACUCGAAAGAGUGGCUAAUACCGCAUGAGAUCUAUGGAUGAAAGCAGGGGACCUUCGGGCCUUGUGCUACUAGAGCGGCCGAUGGCAGAUUAGGUAGUUGGUGGGAUAAAAGCUUACCAAGCCUGCGACCUGUAGCUGGUCUGAGAGGACGAUCAGCCACACUGGGACUGAGACACGGCCCAGACUCCUACGGGAGGCAGCAGUGGGGAAUUUUGGACAAUGGGGGAAACCCUGAUCCAGCAAUGCCGCGUGCGGGAUGAAGGCCUUCGGGUUGUAAACUGCUUUUGUACGGAACGAAAAGUCUUGGGUUAAUACCCUGGGAUCAUGACGGUACCGUAAGAAUAAGCACCGGCUAACUACGUGCCAGCCGCCGCGGUAAAAC